rnacentral:lncRNA from 1 species
GUUGCUCAUAAUUCAAGAGGAUUGGUGGAAGUCUUGAAAAACAAACACAUUUUUCUUAAGCUUAAUACUUGUGUCAGGAUUAAUAAGUCCUCUUUUUUUUUAAGAUAAGACAUUCAUUUACACAUUUAUAUGCAAAAUAUUUUUCCAGGACUCCUACAUAAUUUUUACUAGUCAUUUAUGUGAUAAAAUUAAGAUAUUUUUGAGGGCAGUUUUUAUUCACAAACUAACCAGUUUGUUUCCGUAGGACUGCAAAGCCUGCAUAGGAAGAGCAAAGGACUGUGAAAGAAAUGAGCAGACUCCAUGCCCUGAGUACCCACUACAGAUCCCACCUCAAGCUGCUCACAAUGACCCGUGCAUUCUGCUAUUUCAGUUAUCCACACAUACACAGGGCAAGUAAUGCCUGCCAUACACAGCUGGUGGGUUACUGACGGAGUCAGAGAAAAACAAGAAGAUCCCUGAUGCCUUCUAUGUCGUACUGCCCAACUCAUCCGUGGCUACCUUGCGCAGAGGUCUGCUCAGCAUUUAUUGUCCCUCAGGUGUUUCUGGCCAGCGGCAGAGCCAGUCAAAAAUUCUGAUACAUCUGUACUGGAAAGAUGGUGGAAAAUUUUUGUCCGUUAACAACAGAAAAGAUAUUAGAAUUAGAGAAAACCAGAAAAAAAAUCAACUGAAGAGAAUGUGUGUGUGUGAGUGCGCUUGUGCACGAGCAUGCACACAUGCAUGAAGGGAUAUGGGAAUCAUAAUGUCACAAUCAACUUCUUCAGAAAUUCCUCCCAAAUGAAUUUAAAGUUGGCAUAUGCUGGAUUCCAGGCUGCACACUGAUGAAGCUGAAACCAUAGCACGUUUUCUGUUUUUCUACACCUUUUGUUUUACCACCUUCUAAUGGAUAACAUUGACUUGGAAUUCACUUCUACAUUCACUUGGAAUGGCCUAUGCCUCUUAACUCAUAUGGAAUUGGUUGUAAUACGUGCUUUGAUUUGAGAGAUGAUUUUGCAUGUUAGCAGAUUUUUGAAUUGUAAACCCGUUAUUCCUUUGCAUAUAGGCUAGUUCUAGGGAUUUGCUUGAGUUUCUUAAAUUUUGCAAGAGUGGAGCUGAUGUUGUGAUAAACUUAUGUUUUCUGUUGAUUCUCUUCAACUUGAAGAAGUGAGUCAUGGAAGAUUUGGGGUUAGAAAAAUCACAACUCUGGGGGAGCUGAAGAAACAAAUCAUUUCUGGCAGAAGAUGUGUUUGUCUUUAUCUACUGAAGGAGGAAUCCAGGUUCUAGCUAGGUACCAAGGUUAAACGCUUCUGGCUGGAACUGAGCAGAAUACAGAAUAAGAAGUACAAAGAGCUGAGGGAAGAGACUAUGCUUUCAUAUAUAUUUUAGGAUUUUCAUUUUCUGUGGGCCAACAGAGGAGGAGUUUACUUUAGAAAAAAAUUACAUGGAUAAUGUGAAGAGUUUUUUAUUACUAAAAUUUCAGAUAUUUGGGCAAAUAUCAUGAGACUUGGGCAUUUAUAUGUGUGAGGGUGUGUUUUCUGAGUUAUCUUUGUACUCAAUUCAUAUCUUUUAGCCCUUUCAGGUCUGCUUGGAAAACAGGAUGAAGUCACGUCGCAGACUGUGUAUGAUAUGGCCUUGGG